UACGUAGGGAGCAAGCGUUGUCCGGAUUUACUGGGUGUAAAGGGUGCGUAGGCGGCCUUGCAAGUCAGAAGUGAAAUCCAUGGGCUUAACCCGUGAACUGCUUUUGAAACUGUAGGGCUUGAGUGAAGUAGAGGCAGGCGGAAUUCCCGGUGUAGCGGUGAAAUGCGUAGAGAUCGGGAGGAACACCAGUGGCGAAGGCGGCCUGCUGGGCUUUAACUGACGCUGAAGCACGAAAGCGUGGGUAGCAAACA
rnacentral:rRNA from 1 species